GCAAGUCGAACGCCCUUCUUCGGAAGGGAGUGGCAGACGGGUGAGUAACGCGUGGGAACCUACCUAUAGGUACGGAAUAACAGUUAGAAAUGACUGCUAAUACCGUAUGUGCCCGAGAGGGGAAAGAUUUAUUGCCUAUAGAUGGGCCCGCGUUGGAUUAGCUAGUUGGUGAGGUAAUGGCUCACCAAGGCGACGAUCCAUAGCUGGUUUGAGAGGAUGAUC
rnacentral:rRNA from 1 species